rnacentral:rRNA from 1 species
AUUGAACGCUGGCGGCAUGCCUUACACAUGCAAGUCGAACGGCAGCACGGGAGCAAUCCUGGUGGCGAGUGGCGAACGGGUGAGUAAUGUAUCGGAACGUACCUUUCAGUGGGGGAUAACGUAGCGAAAGUUACGCUAAUACCGCAUAUUCUGUGGGCAGGAAAGCAGGGGAUCGCAAGACCUUGCGCUGAUUGAGCGGCCGAUAUCAGAUUAGCUAGUUGGUGAGGUAAAGGCUCACCAAGGCGACGAUCUGUAGCGGGUCUGAGAGGAUGAUCCGCCACACUGGAACUGAGACACGGUCCAGACUCCUACGGGAGGCAGCAGUGGGGAAUUUUGGACAAUGGGCGCAAGCCUGAUCCAGCCAUGCCGCGUGAGUGG